rnacentral:rRNA from 1 species
AUUGAACGCUGGCGGCAGGCUUAACACAUGCAAGUCGAGCGAGCGGCGGACGGGUGAGUAAUGUAUGGGAAAUUGCCUGAUGGAGGGGGAUCACUACUGGAAACGGUAGCUAAUACCGCAUACCAUCAGAUGUGCCCAGAUGGGUUUAGCUAGUAGGUGGGGUAAUGGCUCACCAGGGCGACGAUCCCUAGCUGGUCGGAGAGGAUGACCAGCCACACUGGAACUGAGACACGGUCCAGACUCCUACGGGAGGCAGCAGUGGGGAAUAUUGCACAAUGGGCGCAAGCCUGAUGCAGCCAUGCCGCGUGUGUGAAGAAGGCCUUCGGAUUGUAAAGCACUUUCAGCGGGGAGGCGUUACUCACAGAAGAAGCACCGGCUAACUCCGUGCCAGCAGCCGCGGUAAUUC